CAGCCGCCGCGGUAAUACAGAGGGUGCGAGCGUUAAUCGGAUUUACUGGGCGUAAAGCGUGCGUAGGCGGCUAAUUGAGUCGGAUGUGAAAUCCCCGAGCUUAACUUGGGAAUUGCAUUCGAUACUGGUUAGCUAGAGUGUGGGAGAGGAUGGUAGAAUUCCAGGUGUAGCGGUGAAAUGCGUAGAGAUCUGGAGGAAUACCGAUGGCGAAGGCAGCCAUCUGGCCUAACACUGACGCUGAGGUACGAAAGCAUGGGGAGCAAACAGGAUUAGAGACCCGAGUAGUCCCUGUCUCUUAUAA
rnacentral:rRNA from 1 species